rnacentral:rRNA from 1 species
GAUGAACGCUGGCGGCGUGCCUAAUACAUGCAAGUCGAGCGAACAGACGAGGAGCUUGCUCCUCUGACGUUAGCGGCGGACGGGUGAGUAACACGUGGAUAACCUACCUAUAAGACUGGGAUAACUUCGGGAAACCGGAGCUAAUACCGGAUAAUAUAUUGAACCGCAUGGUUCAAUAGUGAAAGACGGUUUUGCUGUCACUUAUAGAUGGAUCCGCGCCGCAUUAGCUAGUUGGUAAGGUAACGGCUUACCAAGGCAACGAUGCGUAGCCGACCUGAGAGGGUGAACGGCCACACUGGAACUGAGAAACGGUCCAGACACCUACGGGAGGCAGCAGUAGGGAAUCUUCCGCAAUGGGCGAAAGCCUGACGGAGCAACGCCGCGUGAGUGAUGAAGGGCUUCGGAUCGUAAAACUCUGUUAUUAGGGAAGAACAAAUGUGUAAGUAACUAUGCACGUCUUGACGGUACCUAAUCAGAAAGCCACGGCUAACUACGUG